AUGUACAUUCCUACAACAUAGUAUUAAUGCACCAUAUCCCAUUAGAAAUUUGCAGCUAAGUGCGCUCGGGAUAUAGUAGUACUAGGAUGGGUCACUACCCGGGAAGUCCUAGUGUUUUACAUG
rnacentral:rRNA from 1 species